rnacentral:rRNA from 1 species
GUGAGGAAUAUUGCGCAAUGGAGGCAACUCUGACGCAGCCAUGCCGCGUGCAGGAAGAAGGCGCUACGCGUUGUAAACUGCUUUUAACCGGGAAGAAACCCCAGGACGUGUCCUGGGUUGACGGUACCGGAGGAAUAAGCACCGGCUAACUUCGUGCCAGCAGCCGCGGUAAUACGAAGGGUGCAAGCGUUAUCCGGAUUCAUUGGGUUUAAAGGGUGCGUAGGCGGAGCGUUAAGUCAGUGGUGAAAUCCUGCAGCUUAACUGUAGACUUGCCAUUGAUACUGGCGCGCUUGAGUGCGCUUGAAGUGGGCGGAAUGUGCCGUGUAGCGGUGAAAUGCUGAGAUAUGGCACAGAACACCAAUUGCGAAGGCAGCUCACUAAGGCGAUACUGACGCUUAGGCACGAAAGCGUGGGGAUCGAACAGGAUUAGAAACCCUGGUAGUCC